rnacentral:misc_RNA from 1 species
AUUAGAUAGAAGAAAGAUUCUCUCUGUGAGCUCGUCUCUUCCUUACUGUUCUUGUUCAAGAUGCCCACAGAUACAACCUAUCAAUGCGAGGCAUGGCUGAGUGAAGGUGAAGACAUGGAUCAUUCUUUGCCAGAAGCAGAGUUCUUGAUCCAAAUAUAUUCCCACAUUAUUCCUUUCGAUUCAACAGAAGCAGGUACCAGCAGUGCCGAUGUUACGAUCUUGAAAGAAUUUCGAGUGAAAAGGGAACAUCUAAUACAUGACACCACUUCUUGGUACACCAUAAUGACCAUGCUUUCAGAGAUGAACAUGCCUUUAUAUGUUCAUCCCAUAAUGAUACAGAAAAUAGCAGAAUGCGCACAAGAAAGUCGAGACUUGGACCGAAAGGUUAUUCCUAUGGUUGUGCAUCUAAGGACUAUACAAUAUACAGGUACUGAUGAGGCUGGUGCUUUCCUGGAGUCUUUCAACUCGCAGGGCUUGAGAUUCGUUGGCGUUAGCAGGUCAGCGAUUGAAGCAUUAGAGAAGAUAAAAAUUAAUAAAGAUUCUUCGAAGCAAUGCGUGAUAUGCUUGGAAGACAUUUCGAUUGGGAUGGAAGCUACCCGCUUGCCAUGUUCGCACAUCUAUCAUGGAAGUUGCGUAAAAAAUUGGCUGGAGAAUAGUAAUCUUUGCCCACUCUGUAGGUUUCUGGUACCCAGUUGAGUCAAUUAAUUAGUAGUUUAGUACGAUUUUGGCUUUGGAUAGAAAGUCAUGAGUAAUGUUAUUAGUUUCAUUCCUUUUCCUCCUUUUCUCCUACUGAUUCUUGAGAUAACUUGUACUUGGUGAAGAAUUUAAACAAGGAAU